CCAAUUCUGGAGUAAUACUGCAGAUUAUACUCUACAGGGUCUCCCAGAAAGUGUGUCCCUCCUUGCCUUGGCAUUUGUCUAUUAAGUGGACGAGUAAGGGCAGGCCGGCUCGAGCUGCUGCGCUUGACAAUAGCUUAUACAUAACAUUGUUUUAGCUGACUAACGAGUAAUAUUUUUGUAUUGACACUUUCCCUCUACCUACAGAGAUUCUUCAGAAUAUGGGACAAACAUUCUGGGAUACCCUCACUGUGGAGAAUCGCCUUAUCAACCAACGGCGGACCAGUCAAUAGCCACGUCUUGCUUUUCCAUAUAUGCUCACGACAUAAACAGCGAAAUCGUCCACUCAGUGGAAAUUUGAAUGAUUUCUUAGGGUGAAACUUUCUCCGAGUGGACAAUUUCGAUGUUUUGCCGCGGGAGUAUGGAAAAGCGAGACGCAAGCUUAUUGGACGGUCCGCCGUGGAUUGGCACGAGGCGAUUCUACACAGUGACCCAGUAGUAACAUACAUUUUUGUGGUUUUCUCGGGUUCAGUAUUUUGCGUACAGCGAAAAACCCAACCAUUGGUUAACAUUAGAGAGCCAAAUAUCCAAAUACAUGCAAUGGGCUGGGAUUUUUUGUUAAACUUUAUUGCACGUUCUAAUAUACUGUACUCUGCCUGGAAAACGGCUAAUUUUGUAAAUAGUAAUUCUUACUUCAGUGAUGAAUAGGGGCUGUACACAACUAACGUACCACCUUAAUUUGACAUAUAGAUUUUGGUUGACAUGUCACCAAAACUAUGUCAAAAUUAGGUGGUACGUCCGCUAGUGUAGUAUGCAGUGUGUAAAAUAUUAUGCAGUAUAUACUUAGUGUAGUAUGCAGUGUUUUAAAAUAUUGAAAUUAGUGAUAGGAAGGAUGGAUUUUACCUGAAUUAAGUAUCUUUUGUUAUAAAUAAACUUUAUCUGGUU